GAUGAACGCUGGCGGCGUGCCUAAUACAUGCAAGUCGAGCGGUAAGGCUUUACACAGUUUGUUUAAACGGCAAAGACAGGUCGCGAUUACGAAGUAAUCGUUUCUUAUACGAAGAAUAAACGCUUCGGUCUAAACCACUCUUUAUCUGGCUAGAUAAACGAGUUUGAACAAAGUGUGUAGAGUACACGAGCGGCGGACGGCUGAGUAAUGCAUUGGAACGUACCCAAACUGAGGGAUAAUCCACCGAAAGGUGGACUAAUACCGCAUGUGCCAUUCGUGGUAAAGCUACGGCGGUUUGGGAGCGGCCAAUGUUCGAUUAGCUAGUUGGUGAGGUAAUAGCUCACCAAGGCUACGAUCGAUAGCGGGUCUGAGAGGAUGAUCCGCCAGACUGGAACUGAGACACGGUCCAGACUCCUACGGGAGGCAGCAGUAGGGAAUUUUCCACAAUGGGGCAACCCUGAUGGAGCAACGCCGCGUGCAGGAUGAAGGCCCUCGGGUCGUAAACU
rnacentral:rRNA from 1 species